rnacentral:rRNA from 1 species
GACGAACGCUGGCGGCGUGCUUAACACAUGCAAGUCGAACGGAAAGGCCCUGCUUUUGUGGGGUGCUCGAGUGGCGAACGGGUGAGUAACACGUGAGUAACCUGCCCUUGACUUUGGGAUAACUUCAGGAAACUGGGGCUAAUACCGGAUAGGAGCUCCUGCUGCAUGGUGGGGGUUGGAAAGUUUCGGCGGUUGGGGAUGGACUCGCGGCUUAUCAGCUUGUUGGUGGGGUAGUGGCUUACCAAGGCUUUGACGGGUAGCCGGCCUGAGAGGGUGACCGGCCACAUUGGGACUGAGAUACGGCCCAGACUCCUACGGGAGGCAGCAGUGGGGAAUAUUGCACAAUGGGCGGAAGCCUGAUGCAGCAACGCCGCGUGCGGGAUGACGGCCUUCGGGUUGUAAACCGCUUUCGCCUGUGACGAAGCGUGAGUGACGGUAAUGGGUAAAGAAGCACCGGCUAACUACGUGCCAGCAGCCGCGGUGAUACGUAGGGUGCGAGCGUUGUCCGGAUUUAUUGGGCGUAAAGGGCUCGUAGGUGGUUGAUCGCGUCGGAAGUGUAAUCUUGGGGCUUAACCCUGAGCGUGCUUUCGAUACGGGUUGACUUGAGGAAGGUAGGGGAGAAUGGAAUUCCUGGUGGAGCGGUGGAAUGCGCAGAUAUCAGGAGGAACACCAGUGGCGAAGGCGGUUCUCUGGGCCUUUCCUGACGCUGAGGAGCGAAAGCGUGGGGAGCGAACAGGCUUAGAUACCCUGGUAGUCCACGCUGUAAACGGUGGGUACUAGGUGUGGGGUCCAUUCCACGGGUUCCGUGCCGUAGCUAACGCUUUAAGUACCCCGCCUGGGGAGUACGGCCGCAAGGCUAAAACUCAAAGGAAUUGACGGGGCCCCGCACAAGCGGCGGAGCAUGCGGAUUAAUUCGAUGCAACGCGUAGAACCUUACCUGGGUUUGACAUGGAUCGGGAGUGCUCAGAGAUGGGUGUGCCUCUUUUGGGGUCGGUUCACAGGUGGUGCAUGCCUGUCGUCAGCUCGUGUCGUGAGAUGUUGGGUUAAGUCCCGCAACGAGCGCAACCCUUGUUCACUGUUGCCAGCACGUUAUGGUGGGGACUCAGUGGAGACCGCCGGGGUCAACUCGGAGGAAGGUGGGGAUGACGUCAAGUCCUCAUGCCCCUUAUGUCCAGGGCUUCACGCAUGCUACAAUGGCUGGUACAGAGAGUGGCGAGCCUGUGAGGGUGAGCGAAUCUCGGAAAGCCGGUCUCAGUUCGGAUUGGGGUCUGCAACUCGACCUCAAGAAGUCGGAGUCGCUAGUAAUCGCAGAUCAGCAACGCUGCGGUGAAUACGUUCCCGGG